CGGGGCUCAAGUAAUCCUUCUGGCUUGGCCUUCCAAAGUGCUGAGAUUACAGAGACAGAGUUUUGCUACAUUGCUCAGGCUGAUCUCUCCUCUUGGGCUCAAGUGAUCUGCCAGCCUUGGCCUCCUGAAGUGCUGGGAUUAUAGGCAUGAGCCACCAUGCCCGGCCCAAUAUCAACAUUCUGAACAUCAGCCUUUGUACUGAGUGAUAAUACAGCAACGCUGUCAAGGCCCACUGGGAGAACAAAGAGAGGUGGAUCCCAGGAGGCAGCCAGGGGAUGCAAGGAGCCAACAUGCCAUCAGAGAGGGGUGAAGAGAUAAGGUCCCAAGGAAAGCUAUUGGAAAGCUUUCUACCAAAAGGGAGAUCAAGGACCACAGAGCACAUCCUGAAAGACAAGUUUGGGGAGUCAGAAGAAGCUCAUUUGUUUGCUUGGAUGGCUGAAACAUGGACCAAAAAGGUUACCCACAGUAAACGAACUUGAAAUGCCAGAACUACCCUGGUUACUCUAGAGGAAGGGAUUGACAAGCUUAUGGAGAAAGAAGAGUUGGCGUGAAUUUAUCAUUUCAGAUCUGCGCAUCCACCCUGGAACACUUUUUUCCAUAUCUGUGAGAAAUAAAUGUGUGAGGAGAGCCCUACCAACCUUGAAGAGUUCUGGGGUCACUCUCUCACUAGGCAAGAACUUAUAGUGGGAGCUGCUGUCACUGAAUUGGGA
rnacentral:lncRNA from 1 species